AGCGAACGCUGGCGGCGUGCUUAACACAUGCAAGUCGAGCGCAGGUAUCUUGGGGGUAACCCUGGGAUAUGCUGAGCGGCGGACGAGUGAGUAAUACGUGGAUAACCUACCUUUUAGAUUGGGAUAACUCUGGGAAACUGGAGCUAAUACCAAAUAAGACCACGGUGCCUACGGACACUGGGGUAAAAGGCGGCUGGGCAACUAGCUGUCACUAAUAGAUGGGUCCACGUCCCACCAGGUAGUUGGUGAGGUAAUGGCUCACCAAGCCUAAGACGGG
rnacentral:rRNA from 1 species